UCUUGCAAAUUGAAGGUUCAAUCCAAGUUCAAAUCGAAUUCUAAACAUAGAUUCCUGAUCCUCAUCACAAGGGGAUUACAAGUUUGACGCGUAACAAGCUAGGUGGAAGCUUGAUGAGGGAGCGGGUCAAACGAAUCAAGAAGGAAAGGAAAAGCGUAGUUCGGAUGCGAGGAAAUAACAUGAGCUUGCAUCGCUUUAACUAAAAAGAUUUAAAGCAAAAGUUAUGUAAAUGGGUCAAUACUUUGAUCCGAGCCAGGUACUUUUUGGACGCCGGAAGACGAUCAAGCUCAACGAAGAACCGAACACGAUAAAGACACAUGCUUCCGCACAUCGCCUCGUUGUAAAUUUUUAACGACGAACCCGAUCACGUUAUGUAGAAUAACUUAUGAUUUGUAAAAGUUUUAAUAAACCCGUAUUUCCGAUGUAUAUGUAAUCUUAAUCACAUGAUUGUUUUCGUAAAAUAUACGUUA
rnacentral:lncRNA from 1 species